AUUGAACGCUGGCGGCAUGCCUUACACAUGCAAGUCGAACGGCAGCACGGGAGCAAUCCUGGUGGCGAGUGGCGAACGGGUGAGUAAAGUAUCGGAACGUGCCCAGUCGUGGGGGAUAACGUAGCGAAAGUUACGCUAAUACCGCACACGAUCUAUGGAUGAAAGCGGGGGAUCGCAAGACCUCGCGCGAUUGGAGCGGCCGAUAUCAGAUUAGGUAGUUGGUGGGGUAAAGGCUCACCAAGCCGACGAUCUGUAGCUGGUCUGAGAGGACGACCAGCCACACUGGGACUGAGACACGGCCCAGACUCCUACGGGAGGCAGCAGUGGGGAAAUUUGGGACAAUGGGCGAAAGCCUGAUCCAGCCAUGCUGCGUGCAGGAUGAAGGCCUUCGGGUUGUAAACUGCUUUUGUACGGAACGAAAAGGUUUGGCCUAAUAAGCUGAGCUCAUGACGGUACCGUAAGAAUAAGCACCGGCUAACUACGUGCCAGCAGCCGCCGUAA
rnacentral:rRNA from 1 species